GACGAACGCUGGCGGCGUGCUUAACACAUGCAAGUCGAACGGAAAGGCCCUGCUUUUGUGGGGUGCUCGAGUGGCGAACGGGUGAGUAACACGUGAGUAACCUGCCCUUGACUUUGGGAUAACUUCAGGAAACUGGGGCUAAUACCGGAUAGGAGCCCCGGCUGCAUGGAGGGGGUUGGAAAGUUUCGGCGGUUGGGGAUGGACUCGCGGCUUAUCAGCUUGUUGGUGGGGUAGUGGCUUACCAAGGCUUUGACGGGUAGCCGGCCUGAGAGGGUGACCGGCCACAUUGGGACUGAGAUACGGCCCAGACUCCUACGGGAGGCAGCAGUGGGGAAUAUUGCACAAUGGGCGGAAGCCUGAUGCAGCAACGCCGCGUGCGGGAUGACGGCCUUCGGGUUGUAAACCGCUUUCGCCUGUGACGAAGCGUGAGUGACGGUAAUGGGUAAAGAAGCACCGGCUAACUACGUG
rnacentral:rRNA from 1 species